rnacentral:rRNA from 1 species
AACGAACGCUGGCGGCGCGCCUAAUACAUGCGAGUCGAGCGAGAAGGUGUAGCAAUACACUUGUAAAGCGGCGAACGGGUGAGGAAUGCAUGGGUAACCUACCCUCGAGUGGGGAAUAACUAGCCGAAAGGUUAGCUAAUACCGCAUACGUUUCCGGAACUUCGGUUUCGGAAAGAAAGCAAUACCGUGGGUAUUGCGCUCCUGGAUGGGCUCAUGUCCUAUCAGCUUGUUGGUGAGGUAACGGCUCACCAAGGCUUCGACGGGUAGCUGGUCUGAGAGGACGAUCAGCCACACUGGCACUGCGACACGGGCCAGACUCCUACGGGAGGCAGCAGUAAGGAAUAUUGCGCAAUGGACGAAAGUCUGACGCAGCGACGCCGCGUGGGGGGAUGAAGGUCUUCGGAUUGUAAACCCCUUUCGGGAGGGAAGAUGGAGUGGGUAACCACUUGGACGGUACCUCCAGAAGCAGCCACGGCUAACUUCGUGCCAGCAGCCGCGGUAA